AACGCACGCCGUCCUCGCUCGCAGUCUCGUCGCCCCCCACCCCUAGUAGCGCCUCUCUUUUUUUUCCGGCCACAAUGAGCUCCGCAUCUGCGUAUGGUCUGGACGGGCAAGCGAGGUCGCUGUGCUCGCUGUAUCACCCAUCGCUAAAUUCCCAGGAGUGUCACCGCUUUCUCAUCGGAACCGCCAACCCUUCAGUGGAGAACAAGAUUCACCUCAUCGAGUAUCAGGACGACACAAAAUCGUUAGAGUGUGCCACGGUAUGGUCACACAACGACCCAGUGAUGGGUUUGUGGUGCUCACCCUCUCUUUCGGCGGACAGUCUCCUCGCUGUCUCAUCGCUGCAGAAAUUGGAGGUUUUCCAAAUUUCGGAAAAUGUAUUGAGUGAGCCCAAGUGCAUUGCCACAAUGAACAAGAGCUACAGCUGUGUGUUAUGGGAUUUGGACGGGCUCCAGAGAGAAUUCAGGGCAGUCCAUCAAAACACGCUGAUCACGGUCUUGUUGAGUUCCUCUAAGCUCGGUUCGGAAACGGUCAACUACACAAGUAGCGGAGGAGCCAUUCGCUGCGCCGCCUUAGCGCCUUACGACCCCAAUCUCUGCCUUAUUUCUUGUGAUUCUGAUGGGCUGCAGCUUGUUGAUCUGCGCAGCAAAAAAGCUUCUUCCUUCGCGGCCACUAAGUACAGCCACGGUUUCGGCUACACGACGGCGGUCGACUUUGAUCGUUUAAAGCCCGGGCAGUUUCUCUCCGCAGGCACGGACGGCUACGUGUACAUUCACGACAUCCGCUACAAUGCCUCCUGCUCUCUCGCAAUGCUGCGGCACAUGAAAGCACAUGAGCACGCGGUGCAGAGCUGCUUGUUCAACUCAUUUCGAGACGAACUUGUUCUGUCAUGUAGCUCAGAUGAAACUGUCAAGCUGUGGGAUGUUGAGCAGAACAACGAACCAAAGUGCCUUCGGCGACUAGCAGACUACGGAGACAGCGUUGUUGCCCUCUGUUGGAGUGGCAAUAGCCCGUGGGUUUUUGCAGGCUUGUCUUUCAACGGAAAACUCCUCGUCGACACCGUUCCCAACGAAAAGAAAAUGAGCAUUUUGCUCGACGAAAAGAAGUGGUGUGAGACCUGACAGUGUAUUUUAUUGUUGUUUUGUUCUCUUCACAUACUUCCCUUUCUCCUGCCUUUAAAGAAAGGGUUUUGGGUUAGAUGCUUGUAGGUCGACCGACACGCAGAAGCUGCUCUUCAGUGAUGAUGAUAAUUAUCGCAAUACGUGCUGCCGCUUUGUGUGGGCUCUUAGACAACUUUCUGAAAGCUGCCGUUG
rnacentral:misc_RNA from 1 species